CGUGCCAGCAGCCGCGGUAAUACGAGGGGGGCUAGCGUUGUUCGGAUUUACUGGGCGUAAAGGGUGCGUAGGCGGAUUGUUAAGUCAGGGGUGAAAUCCCGAGGCUCAACCUCGGAACUGCCUUUGAUACUGGCGAUCUUGAGUCUGGGAGAGGUGAGUGGAACUGCGAGUGUAGAGGUGAAAUUCGUAGAUAUUCGCAAGAACACCGGUGGCGAAGGCGGCUCACUGGCCCGGUACUGACGCUGAGGCACGAAAGCGUGGGGAGCAAACAGGAUUAGAUACCCUGGUAGUCCACGCCGUAAACGAUGA
rnacentral:rRNA from 1 species